rnacentral:rRNA from 1 species
UGGAUUGCACGUCUAAGCAGUAAGGCUGAGUAUUAGGCAAAUCCGGUACUCGUUAAGGCUGAGCUGUGAUGGGGAGAAGACAUUGUGUCUUCGAGUCGUUGAUUUCACACUGCCGAGAAAAGCCUCUAGAUAGAAAAUAGGUGCCCGUACCGCAAACCGACACAGGUAGUCAAGAUGAGAAUUCUAAGGUGAGCGAGCGAACUCUCGUUAAGGAACUCGGCAAAAUGACCCCGUAACUUCGGGAGAAGGGGUGCUCUUUAGGGUUAACGCCCAGAAGAGCCGCAGUGAAUAGGCCCAAGCGACUGUUUAUCAAAAACACAGGUCUCUGCUAAACCGUAAGGUGAUGUAUAGGGGCUGACGCCUGCCCGGUGCUGGAAGGUUAAGAGGAGUGGUUAGCUUCUGCGAAGCUACGAAUCGAAGCCCCAGUAAACGGCGGCCGUAACUAUAACGGUCCUAAGGUAGCGAAAUUCCUUGUCGGGUAAGUUCCGACCCGCACGAAAGGCGUAACGAUUUGGGCACUGUCUCAACGAGAGACUCGGUGAAAUCAUAGUACCUGUGAAGAUGCAGGUUACCCGCGACAGGACGGAAAGACCCCGUGGAGCUUUACUGUAGCCUGAUAUUGAAAUUCGGCACAGCUUGUACAGGAUAGGUAGGAGCCUUUGAAACGUGAGCGCUAGCUUACGUGGAGGCGCUGGUGGGAUACUACCCUAGCUGUGUUGGCUUUCUAACCCGCACCACUUAUCGUGGUGGGAGACAGUGUCAGGCGGGCAGUUUGACUGGGGCGGUCGCCUCCUAAAAGGUAACGGAGGCGCUCAAAGGUUCCCUCAGAAUGGUUGGAAAUCAUUCAUAGAGUGUAAAGGCAUAAGGGAGCUUGACUGCGAGACCUACAAGUCGAGCAGGGUCGAAAGACGGACUUAGUGAUCCGGUGGUUCCGCAUGGAAGGGCCAUCGCUCAACGGAUAAAAGCUACCCCGGGGAUAACAG